AUUGAACGCUGGCGGCAGGCCUAACACAUGCAAGUCGAGCGGGGUUUUCGGACCUAGCGGCGGACGGGUGAGUAAUGCGUAGGAAGCUGCCCGAUAGAGGGGGAUACCAGUUGGAAACGACUGUUAAUACCGCAUAAUGUCUACGGACCAAAGUGUGGGACCUUCGGGCCACAUGCUAUCGGAUGCGCCUACGUGGGAUUAGCUAGUUGGUGAGGUAAUGGCUCACCAAGGCGACGAUCUCUAGCUGGUUUGAGAGGAUGAUCAGCCACACUGGAACUGAGACACGGUCCAGACUCCUACGGGAGGCAGCAGUGGGGAAUAUUGGACAAUGGGCGCAAGCCUGAUCCAGCCAUGCCGCGUGUGUGAAGAAGGCCUUCGGGUUGUAAAGCACUUUCAGUAGGGAGGAAGCGUUGUGUGUUAAUAGUACACAGCGUUGACGUUACCUACAGAAGAAGCACCGGCUAACUCUGUGCCAGCCGCCGCGGUAAAAC
rnacentral:rRNA from 1 species